CACAGUAGGUGCUCAAUAAGUAUCAACAUUGGGGUUGCAGAAAAUGAUUAUCAAAGGUACUAAGAGAUCCGCUGUUCUCAGUGGAAGUGUGGCCCUGUGGUCCCUGUCCUGCCCCGCAGCUCUGAGCAGACUUCUCUGGGUUUUCACAGUGCCCAGUUGUCUCCCUUGUUCACAGCGCUUCAUGCUGGAUAAUCACCAUCUGUUUAUGUCCCUGUCUUUUCUGAAAUUCCCAGAGCUCCUGGAGGGAAAGAACUAUAGGAGAAAUCAUUGUGGUUGUUUGAAUGAUGUCCAUCUGCCUGUCUGCUGCAUUAAGCAGCAAGUAUUAGAAAGGGGACCCAAGUUGGGGGUCUUAAUUCCUUUGAAGAAGAUUUGUGAAAAUAGAAAACAUCUGGAAUGUGGAAUCUUGUGGCUCUGAACAUAAGCUUUGGCCCCUCUACCUGUGAGAUCUACUCCAUUCUGGACUUCAUGUUCCUUAUCUGUGAAAUGGGCAUGAGGCACCUGGUUUGCCUACCUUACAGGACAAAAGAUCAACUGAGAUGAUGACUUUCUAGAUUAAAAAGGGCAGUGCAAUGGGAAUGAUGAUCACUGUUUCUUUCCUCUUCUAUGCCCCCAGGGCCUCUGGUUAGAGGUAGAAAGCCCGGACAAACCCACAUAUAACCCACAUGGCUGAGCCCCAAAUCUGGGCUCCCCCCUGAAAGAGGUCUUCUCUUUUUUUAAUAUUUAUUUUUUAGUUGUAGAUGAACCCAAUAUCUUUAUUUUAUUUUAUGUGGUGCUGAGGAUCGAACCCAGGGCCUCACACAUGCUAGGCAAGCGCUCUACCACUGAGCCACAACUCCAGCCCUGAAAGAGGUCUUCUCUUUCCAGAUGACUGGCAGUUGGCAGGACAAGCACCUGCCACUAAUGGCAACCUCUUGCCACCCCAUGGGGAAAACUUGCUUUAGAUAAUGGGACAACCCAGAGGAGGGCAUUGUUAAUAAUACCCUGGUUGUAGCUGUGCCUGGGUUUUCAGUAGCAUGAACCAGUACUGUAACUUCUUGCAGUCUGAAUUUUUAAAAACCACUUGCAACUAAAACUUUUCUUGUGAACUAACCUACAACAAAAAUUUGAUUCUCAUAAAAACCUUUGAUUUCAAUAAUGGGAGUAGCAUAGACAUUAGUCUGGGAAUAAGGUACUGACAUUUGUAUUCAAUUUGCCAAUAUUUUGUGCAAAAUUUUGUGUUCAUGAGGGAUAUUGGUCUAUCCUUAUAAUGAAUGCCCUUGUUUGGUUUUGGUAUCAAGUUAAUGCUGGCUUCUUAAAACGAGUUGAGAAGGUUUCCUCCUGUUUUCUCAAACCUCUAAUGUAGAAUUGGUAUUAUUUCUUCCUUAAAUGUUUGGUAGAAUUUUCCAGUGAAUCAUGGCUCAUAUUUUUUGAUGCUAUAAAUUUCUUAAAAAAAAAAAAAAGGAGCUGUUUUGCUCACUAUUUCUGUCUUAUGCAUUGAUUGAACUAUUUCCCAACAUUUUGUUUCCCAACAUUUUCCCUGGAUUCUUGUUUUGGGCUCCACCGGGCUCCGGUAACUAUAAUAUGAUCUAAAUUUAUGUGUUAUGAUUUUGCAGUUUUUACAUUUAAAAAAAGCAACAAAUUGCUUGCAAUCUGUUUAAAAGAAAUGAACAGAAUGUGGUUAACUUUGAUCUUAUGUUAAAGUUGAUGCACCCUGCUUGCCUUCCAGCUUACCCAUUGCUCUCUGAGGUGUCCCAGGUCGACCCCUUGGUCCAGCCUCCUGGCCGCUGCUCAUGCUGUCAUCUCUCUCUGGAGCACCUUUUUCUAACCCUGCCCUGGCUCACUCCAUUGGGAUGCAGCCUUUGCAAAUGUCUCUGGCGUUCCCAGGCUGAACCAGGUGACUCCCUGACUACCUCUGCCUGCCAUGCUUCCCUACUGAAACAUGAAUCUUAUUAUAGUCAUGCAUCACUUAACAGUGGGACAUAUUCCGAGAAAUGCAAUGCUGUGUGAACAUCCUGGAAUGUACCUACACAAACCUAGAUGGCAUACGUCAAUCACUCGAUGUGGCCUCUUGGUGCAAUCAAGAGACUCAGUAAAUACAGGAUGUGUGAGGCUAUUGCUGGUGUUAACAUGGCUUACUGUUUUAUGGUAAAACUUUUUAAAUGUAAGUAGAUGGAGGACACACUAAAAUAGUGAUAACAUGUAUAAUAAAGACAUAGAGCAGUAGCACAGUCAUUUAUUAUCAUUAGCAAGUAUUAUAUGCUACACAAUUGUACAAUGCAUACUUUCAUACAACUGGCAGCUCAUAGGUCUGGUUACACCAGCAUCACCACAAAUGCAUAAUGCAUUGUUCCAUGACUUUUUGAUGGCUAUGAGGUCACUAGGCAAUAGAAAUUUUCAGCUCUGUUAUAAUCUAAUGGUACCACCAUUUCAUAUUUGGUCUGUUGUUGACUGAAACAUCAUUAUGCAGUGCAUGACUAUAUUGAAAUUGUCUAAUAGUUCUCUUUCCUAUACUAUGAAGCCCCUGCAUCUAUUCAGUUCAUUGUUAGAUUCCUGCUCUGACAACAGAGACUGGCGCAGGGGCCCUUGGUAAAUACUUGUUGAGUGAAUGAACAUUUAUUGUUAUUCAUGACUACAGUCAUAGCAAUAAAGCCACUUACAUUUCACUUCUCUAAA